CUGUGAGUCUCUUCCUCCACGUCUGUGAGUCCGUUCCUCCAUGUCUGUGAUUCUGUUUCCACAUGUCUGUGAGUCCUUUCCUCCAUGUCUGUGAGUCUGUUCCUCCAUGUCUGCGAUUCUGUUCUUCAUGUCUGCGAGUCUGUUCUUCAUGUCUGUGAGUCCAUUUCGACAUGUCUGUGAGUCUGUUAUCCAUGUCUGUGAGUCCAUUUCUCCAUGUCUGCGAGUCUGUUUCAUAAAAGUUCCUCUGUGUCAUAUUUUAGAUUCCACAAAUAAGCGUUAUCGUAUAGUACUUGUCUUUCUGUUUCCGACUUCAUUCGGUAUGAGAUCUCCCGGUGCACCCAUGUUGUUGCAGAUGGCACUAUCUCGCUCUUUUCCUGGCUGAGCAGUACUCCACAGGAUAUAUGGGCCACAUCUUUUUUAUCUGUCCAUCUGUCCAUAGAUAGUUAGGUGGCUUCCGCGUCUUGGCUGUUGUGAAUAGUGCAGCUUUGAGGAGAGGGGUGCAUGUACCUUUUUGAAUUAUUUUUNNNNNNNNNNNNNNNNNNNNNNNNNNNNNNNNNNNNNNNNNNNNNNNNNNNNNNNNNNNNNNNNNNNNNNNNNNNAUCAGCCACUUCAGCCAGCAUCAGACCUACUGCCUGGGCUGUGGGCAGCUGCAGGACGAGGGGGACACAGAGAAUUCGGUGGCUUGCAGUACCCCAGGCUGCAGAGGUCUCUUCUGUCUCACCUGCUUCCGUCUCCUGGGCAACACCUGCUCCGUGUGUGCGUCUCCCCUCUCCUGCCAGGAGGAGCUGGAUCUAGAGCUGGACUCCAGUGAUGAGGAGGGCCCCCGCCUAUGGCUGGCUGCCGCCCACCAAAAGGGUCCUGAGCAGGAGGCGCUACUGCGGCAGCAGCUCCAGGAAGCGCUGGGCAGGACCCUCUCAUCGGAUUCCAUGUCGGAAUCCAGGUGAGUGGAAGACUUCAGGCGUGGGGACUGGGAGGCCUAAGCAUGUUCGGUCACAUUUAUCAAGGGUUUCUUGGCUGCCUGGCCCUCUGCUAGAGCUGGAGAGAUAAAAGGGGUAGUGGGGAGGGGGGUUUGCCCCAUGCCUGCUGUGUCAGCACCCCUGCCCUGGGGUGAGUGGGGGAGAGCGACAUCAAGUAGAUAAGUGACAAUGUAGAGAGCACCCCAAAUGAGGAGUGAAACAGGCUCUGGGAAGCACAGAGGACAGAACACCCGGUUUGGGAUGGAGGUAUAUUAAUGAAAGCUUCACGAAAGAAGUCAAAAAAAUAGGUGGGCUUGAUUUUCACUCACAGAGAGCCAAGUAUAUCAAAUGCUGUGAGAUUAUCAAGUAGGAUGAAGCCUGGAAGCCAGAGGGUUUGUCAGGCUAAGGAGUGCAAGAGGACAUUCCAGGGGGAGGCUUGUGUGAGUCUGGAGAAUAUGGGACACUUAGAGGUGAGGGGAGGGUCAGGGAGGGGUGUAUUUGUGGCUGGGUGGAGACAGCAGAGCAUACUGGGAGAUGAGGUUGCCCAUCAAGGCAGGGAGAGGUGGGAGAGGGCCUCAGUUUACCAUCUGAAGAUCCUCAGUCAGAAAGUGAUGUAUUUGUCUUUUGGGACAAUAAGCUAAGAAGGCAGAGUGGAGGCAGGGUGGGAGCAGGGAGACCAGAGAGGAGGCUGUCUUAGCUCAGGAAAAGUUGGUGACAGCCUCAGGACUGAGGUGCUGAGAAUGACAGGGAGCUUGUGUUUGGAACUGGGUGGUGUUAGGGCAAGAGGAGAAACAGGUUCUGCAGAAACAAUGGCCCAGUUCUAGACCUUUCUGGUAUCUGUAGGGAAUCCACUGGGAAUGCCCAGGGGACAGUUAGAAAAGGGCAGGGCUCUGGGCCAGAGGUAUCUUUUGGGGGGUUGUUGACUUGGAGACUGUGAGAGAAAUGAGCUGGAUCACCCUGGUGGAGGGCAGGGCAGCAGAGGAGGAGGCAGGGACAUGACCCUGAGGGGCUCCAUCACAAACCAAGGAGGGGAGAGACUCAAGAACAGAGAGCCAAGCGGAUCCGGUGUUGUGAGAUGAUCAGGUAGGAUGAAGCCUAAAGACUGGUCAUUGAAUUUGGUGGUCGAGAGAUCCUUGGAGUGGCUUGUGGGACUAUUUCUCAUGGUGUGGGGAAGGCCAAAACCAGUCCUCGUGGGUUGAGGGGGUGACUGGUAGAGAAGACUCAGAAAUGGGGUACAUGGCUCUGUCACUGUUGCAAGUUUGGAAAUUAUUAUUAAUAUUUUUAACGUCACUGCUGUAGUUUAAAAAAGGAAGCUUGAUGGUAAAGAGGAGAGAGUUAGCUUCAUAGAACAAUAGAGUAGCUUGAAGGGAACCUAAAAGAUUUUUCUUUAUCCAAGAAAAAGCUUUUUCUUUACCCAAGUAUGGGGAGAUUUGAGGAUUUCAGAGAUGAAAAAAGUGUUGAAGAGUGAGAGAUGCCGGAGAGAUGGGAUCUAGGGCCAGGUGAACAGGGUGGCCUCAAAUAGGACCGGGCUCGCCCGAGGCAGGAGGGGAGAGGGCAUGUUCCUC
rnacentral:lncRNA from 1 species